CUAGAGAGUACUGAGUGACAGAUACUGUAAACAUCCUACACUCUCAGCUGUGGAAAGUAGAAAAGCUGGGAGAAGGCUGUUUACUCUCUCUGCCUUGGAAAUCAACCAAAGAGACACGG
rnacentral:miRNA from 1 species